rnacentral:rRNA from 1 species
UACGUAGGGUGCGAGCGUUAAUCGGAAUUACUGGGCGUAAAGCGUGCGCAGGCGGUUUUGUAAGCCAGAUGUGAAAUCCCCGGGCUUAACCUGGGAAUGGCAUUUGGGACUGCAAGGCUCGAGUGCGGCAGAGGAGACUGGAAUUCCUGGUGUAGCAGUGAAAUGCGUAGAUAUCUGGAGGAACACCGGUGGCGAAGGCGGCAUCCUGGACCAACACUGACGCUGAUGAGCGAAAGCCAGGGGAGCAAACGGG